UACGUAGGGGGCAAGCGUUGUCCGGAUUUAUUGGGCGUAAAGAGCGUGUAGGCGGCCACACAGGUCAGCUGUGAAAACUCGAGGCUCAACCUCGAGACGUCGGUUGAAACCGUAUGGCUAGAGUCCGGGAAGAGGAGAGUGGAAUUCCCGGUGUAGCGGUGAAAUGCGCAGAUAUCGGGAAGAACACCCGUGGCGAAGGCGGCUCUCUGGGACGGUACUGACGCGUGAGACGGCGAAAAGCGUGGGGAGCGAACGGG
rnacentral:rRNA from 1 species